rnacentral:lncRNA from 1 species
GGUGGGACCUUUUUAUAAUGCCAAUUUUAAAAGAAAGAAAUGCUAGAAGUUUUGAAGGUAAGCAAAAUUCAUCACAAAAGUUCAAGAUGAAUUGUAUGCAAUUGUCCCAUCGUUGAUGUAAAUAAACUGGAUUAGAGGAGACGGAUUCCUUGAUAGUGUAGAUAGAAUCCCUAUAAAUUCCUUUUGCACAGUCAGGAUCUUUGCUUACUUGUAUUUAUAGUGCUGCCAACUUAGCGUUGAGUGUGUAUAUGUAUGUUUUUUCUUUUGAUAACUGAUUAUGUAUACCUAUGUUACCAAUCUAAAAGAAAAACUAUAGCAGAAGGUACAUUCCUAUUUAAUAUUCCAUUGUGACGGCUUUGUGUAUGUAUAUGGACUUCAACAUCCUUAUCAUUUAUUGCUAAUUUCAUAUGCAAAGAUUCUGACUGUGCAAAAGAAAUUUACAAGGAUCCUAUAUAGACUAUCAAGAAAUUUGCCUUCUCUAAUUUAUUUAUUUUACAUCAACGAUAGAACAAUUGAAUACAACUCAUUUUGAGUUUUGGUGAUGAAUUUUGUUUACCUUCCAAACCUGUAACAUUUCUUUCUUUCCAAAUUGAUAUUAUAAAAGGUUCCACCCUAAUUGCUCAAGGUUCGGAGAGAGUCCUUCACUAUGCAGGCAGCUAUCAAAAGAGUCGUGCCAGACUGAUGAAGCCACAUACGCUUAUAUAGGUAGGCUAGAAACUCUUUAGGCAAAAACUUUAACCCUAGAAACUUUUUUCGUAAAAUAUGGUUGUGCAUAUUUUAUGAAAAAGUUCCAAGGGUUAGUUUUUGCCUAAGAGUUUCUAACCUACCUAUAUAAGCGUAUGUGACUUCAUCAGUCUGCACGCCUCUUUUGAUAGCUGCCUGCAAAGUGAAAGACUCUCUCCUAUGCUUGAAUAAUUACGGUGGCACCUUUUAUAAUGUCAAUUUUGAAAGAAAGAAAUGCUAGAAGUUUUGAAGAUAAACAAAAUUCAUCACAAAAGAUCAAGAUGAGUUGUAUUCAAUUGUUCUAUCGUUGAUGUAAAUAAACAAGAUUAGAAGAGACAGAUUCCCCUGAUAGUCUAGAUAGGAUCCCUAUAAAUUCCUUUUGCAUAGUCAGGAUCUUCGCUUACUUGUAUUUAUGGUGUUGCCAACUUAGUGUUGAUUAUGUACAUGUAUGUUACUAUUCUAAAAGAAAAACUAUAGCAGAAGGUACAUUCCUAUUUAAUAUUCUGUUGUGAUGGCUUUGUGUAUGUAUAUGGACUUCAACAUUCUUAUCAUUUAUUGCUAAUUUCAUAAGAGUUCUCUGUUUUAAAUUUAUUCCUUAACAGUUGUGCAAUUGAUUCCUCUGUUUCCUAAAACUUAUAUUAUAAAUUUCUACCCUGUUGAAUUAAUUGAUCAAGCAUUUUCAUGGAUUCUCGUGGAUCAUGUGUAAUAGAAUAUGAAUGAUGAUUUUUGACUCUUUUCUUUCAUUUUUCUUCGUCUUUUUUUAUUUCCUUUUUUGGGUUGGGUUGGG